UUAAGAUUUUAAAGACUGAAGAAGAAAGAUCGGUAGCUGAGGAUGUUGAAAAUCGAUUCUCAAUUUUCAGACUACAGAAUCGAUCCCUGAAUUAUCACCAAAUUACGAUCUUACAAAUCGAUUUUCACUACGCCAUGCCGUUAGAAGUGAAACUACGUAUCGCCCUGAACGAGAACGCAAGGGGGGGGGGGGGAAAUAGAAUGCAUAAGAAUCCAUAAGAAAACCAAAAGAUGAAGUAUGUGAUGUCCUUCCUCCAGAAUAUCAAGCAAGAGAUCAUCAUCCGCGGUUAUUCAGUUUAUCGAUAGUGAAGAAAGCCGCAAACAACUUAACCAAGAAACAAAACAUGCAUGAGAGAGAAGGCACAGACUUUGUCAUAAAACAAUUUGAUGGAACGCAAAAAGCCACAGAUUGGAGUAUGAAAUAUUCAUAUUUCACAUAAGCAUCCCUUCCAUACUCUAAUAUGAGUAUGAAACCGAAUACGAAAAAUACAAAAUCCAAACUGACGAAAAAAGGAUCAAGAAUUUGAAGAAAUAUUUGGGAAAAAUAGCAUCAGAAUGGUACCAAGCAAAUCUGCUGAAGGAUGAAGAAUACAACUGGGAAAAUUGGAAGGUGGCAGUUCAAAAAGCUUGUGGCAAUAAAGGUUGGUCUGCAGUACGAUACACUUAUAACUUUAAAUACAUUUCAGGUUCAUUCACUGAA